UACGUAGGGACCGAGCGUUGUCCGGAAUUAUUGGGCGUAAAGAGCUUGUAGGCGGUUUGUCGCGUCUGCUGUGAAAAUCCGGGGCUCAACCCCGGACUUGCAGUGGGUACGGGCAGACUAGAGUGUGGUAGGGGAGACUGGAAUUCCUGGUGUAGCGGUGAAAUGCGCAGAUAUCAGGAGGAACACCGAUGGCGAAGGCAGGUCUCUGGGCCACUACUGACGCUGAGAAGCGAAAGCAUGGGGAGCGAACAGG
rnacentral:rRNA from 1 species